AUUGAACGCUGGCGGAAUGCUUUACACAUGCAAGUCGAACGGCAGCACGGGGGCAGCCCUGGUGGCGAGUGGCGAACGGGUGAGUAAUACAUCGGAACGUGCCCGGUCGUGGGGGAUAACGUAGCGAAAGUUACGCUAAUACCGCAUACGAUCUGAGGAUGAAAGCGGGGGACCUUCGGGCCUCGCGCGAUCGGAGCGGCCGAUGUCAGAUUAGGUAGUUGGUGGGGUAAAGGCCUACCAAGCCGACGAUCUGUAGCUGGUCUGAGAGGACGACCAGCCACACGGGGACUGAGACACGGCCCAGACUCCUACGGGAGGCAGCAGGGGGGAAUUUUGGACAAUGGGCGCAAGCCUGAUCCAGCCAUUCCGCGUGCAGGACGAAGGCCUUCGGGUUGUAAACUGCUUUUGUACGGAACGAAAAGGCUCUGGCUAAUACCUGGGGCUCAUGACGGUACCGUAAGAAUAAGCACCGGCUAACUACGU
rnacentral:rRNA from 1 species